GGGCAUAUAGCUCAGUGGUAGAGUGUGUGCUUAGCAUGCAUGAGGUCCUGGGUUCAAUCCCCGGUACCUCUA
rnacentral:tRNA from 1 species